CUCUGGUGGGGCAUCCGUCUGCGCCUGUCCUGCUGCCCUGCUUCUCUGGAAGCCGGGAAGCACAGGUGCAGUCCCUGGUGUGCCCUGCUGCUGGUGGCCCCUGGAAAAAAAGCCAGGGGAAGGGAGUGGCAGGCCACGGGGUCUCAGCUCUCAUAUGCUGCUGCCACCACAACUCCCUUUGGGAGCGAACAGGAGCAGCGGCGGGGCAAGGAUGCACCCACCAGACAGCCAGCGCUCUAAUCCAAAGCACUUCACAAAUGGUACAAACAAUAUUUGGGAAGAUCAUUAAAUGGUCUGCCGAGAUUUUCAUGUGGUCUGUGAAAAUAAACGUUAGACUCCAAAAACAAUCAAGUUUCUCUUGCUGCCACCAAAAUAUUUUUAAAAGCACAGGAACAUGACUGCAGCAUGUUGCACCCACCUUGAUGCUGAUCCUAGGGACACUAGACAUUUACCAAGCUAAUGAGAGUAUGCGGAGUUAUGAUUGUUAAUGUCAACAAACCAGUUUUGAAGAGAUAUAAAACCUCAUGCACCAGCGUUAAACCAGUAUCUAACUAUUAGGGGUGAGGAUGAGGUGUACGGAUCCAGAUUAUCCCACAUCUACCUAUUGCAGGAUUUCUUACGCCUUCCCUUGAAGUACCUGGUCUGGCCAGUCUCAGAGAUAGGAUAAUGGCUUCGAUGGGCUUCCAUCUGACCCAGCCUGGCAAGUCCCAUGUUCUGUCUCUUGCUUUCUCUACAUUUUUGUUCAUUUGUCUUCUUCCUUCCAUCUUCGGCUUUCAUUUUUGACUUUGAUCUUGCUCCAUUUUUCUUCCUGCCUUUUUCUCUCUUUUCCAAAAGGUGGCAACACCACUCAAUGGAAUGGCACAUUUCCCAUGCCUCAGGGUCAAUCUAACAAAUCGUAGCUAACUCUGAGACACGGGAAAUGUUCCUUCCCAUCCACGGGGUUUCCACCUUUUGGUCACAAGAAAAAGCACUACACUGCACUAUAUUUUCCUCUAUAACUUUUCCAUGGCCAUUAGGCUAUUUUUAUCCCCAUGUUUCCAAAUACAGACAUAAAUAAAUGUGAAUACUAGGAACCUCUGAGGACAAGAAUCAGGGGGAUCUGUGCUCAUUACUAGGACGGCAGCUGAAAACAGGAGAGGAACAUUUAGGGAAGUGGGAGAGAAAAGCCAAAAGAGGAAGGGGAAAGCAGGAGUGGAACAGCAGAGAGGAAAAAGAAAAACAGAAGGGAGUAAAGAAGCAGAACCUAGAGGAGGGAAAAAGAAGAGAACAGUAACCAUGUCCUUUAGGAUGAAAUUUGCUUCCCCUGCAUAAAACCCUAUAACCUGGGCUUGAUGCAGGUGAAAUGCAUGAGGUAUGGGGUGGAAUCCAUCUCCAUCUCGGGGCUAGGGUUGGGAUACAGCAAGGCCCUGCCCCCAUGGCUGCUCCUCCAGCUAAUUUAUUGCCCGUGGCCGCUGGGUAGUCAUAGGCACAGACUGCCACUUGCCUCCUGCUCCCACUGUCAUUUUUACUUCACUCAGUUGGUGUAGAACUUUGCUUAUCCCACAGUCUUAGGGAUACCUGAAAGCUAUGGCUAAUCAGGGUUUUGGUUAAACAUGGGAGCCAGCUAGCUGACACAGGAACAGGAAUUGCCAGAGCUUGCUACCUUCCCAAGGCCAGUGACAGAAGAGGAGCAGGAAGGGGAGAAGAGGAGAGCUCUUUUGAGCUCCUCUCUUAAAUCUUGCCUGUAACCUAUCAGCUUUGAGAAAACCAAAGGAGAGGCAGCCCUACUCCCUACCUUCCUCUUCAGACAGCUGUGCAGCAAACCGAGGGCACCUGACUUGGGUGUUGGCUAACCAGGAGUUUUGGUCAUCUGGAGUUGGGAUAAUCAAGAUUCAACUGGAUAUUCUAGAACAUUGCAUAUA